CUCCCAUGGUAACCGCUGCCACUGCACUUGCAACAUCCUACCUCUCUGUGUGUAACCUCUAAGUAUCCCCCAUGUCUUCAGAGCUAUAUCCCUCUCAGAUUCAAGUCCAGAGCAAGAGCAACUGAUACAGUUUGGAUGUGUGUCCCUGUCCAAAUCUUAGGGUGAAUUGUCAUCCCCAAUGUUGCAGCAUCCAGAGAAAUUAUUCUUGAGCUGACAGGUGCAUUAGUCCAAAAAACACUUACCUCAGUGGACCAUAACUAUGCCAGGCUGCAGAACCACCAGCGCCCAUGACAAGUGUGUCCGCAUUACUUCAAGUCUUUUGGUAGUGGUCAGAAAACAACACUGGAGCAAUACCAUGUGGCAACAAGAGCAACAAUGGCCAAGAUAAUGGAGCUGUUCCACCGACUGCACAGAUAAUUAGAAGACAGCUGCCAGAUUGGAGACCAUUUCAGAUGUCAAUCUGCAAAGUGGUAUGGAAAGGCAGGAAAUAAGCCAUGGAACAUUUUAAUUGCCUUCAUAACCUGGGUUACAGGAAAGAGGCAUCUCCUUCAUGAUUUCUGCUUCUGAGAGGAGGGUGCUGUGGCCAAGGGCUUGGAUGCUCACAGAAUCUCCCAUCCCCUUCCAUGAGCAUUAUUGAAGAGAAGAUACCAUGGAAGAAUUGUGGGAAUAAACACGGUGUCAUUCAUA